GGAAACAUGGCCUAGGGGGAAGAGCACGGGUCUGGGAGUCAGAGAACCUGGGUUCUAAUCCCGGUUUUUCCA
rnacentral:tRNA from 1 species